rnacentral:tRNA from 1 species
UCCCUGAUAGCUCAGUUGGUAAAGAAUCUGCCUGCAAUGCAGGAGACCCAGGUUCGAUUCCUGGGUCGGGAG